AUUGAACGCUGGCGGCAUGCUUUACACAUGCAAGUCGAACGGCAGCGCGGGCUUCGGCCUGGCGGCGAGUGGCGAACGGGUGAGUAAUACAUCGGAACGUGCCCAGUAGUGGGGGAUAGCUCGGCGAAAGCCGGAUUAAUACCGCAUACGACCUGAGGGUGAAAGCGGGGGAUCUUCGGACCUCCCGCUUUUGGAGCGGCCGAUGGCAGAUUAGCUAGUUGGUGGGGUAAAGGCCUACCAAGGCGACGAUCUGUAGCUGGUCUGAGAGGACGACCAGCCACACUGGGACUGAGACACGGCCCAGACUCCUACGGGAGGCAGCAGUGGGGAAUUUUGGACAAUGGGCGAAAGCCUGAUCCAGCAAUGCCGCGUGUGUGAUGAAGGCCUUCGGGUUGUAAAGCACUUUUGGCGGGAACGAAAAGGACUGUGCCAAUACCACGGUUCGAUGACGGUACCCGCAGAAUAAGCACCGGCUAACUACGUG
rnacentral:rRNA from 1 species